UUUGACCUCGGAUCAGGUGGGGAUACCCGCUGAACUUAAGCAUAUCAAUAAGCGGAGGAAGAGAAACCAACCGGGAUUGCCCUAGUAACGGCGAGUGAAGCGGCAACAGCUCAAAUUUGAAAUCUGGCGCCUUCGGUGCCCGAGUUGUAAUUUGUAGAGGGUAGCUCGAGCCCGCCCCCGUCUAAGUCCCCUGGAACGGGGCGUCGUAGAGGGUGAGAAUCCCGUAUGCGACGGGGUGGCGUGCUCGUGUGAGCUCCCUUCGACGAGUCGAGUUGUUUGGGAAUGCAGCUCUAAAUGGGAGGUAAAUUCCUUCUAAAGCUAAAUACCGGCCAGAGACCGAUAGCGCACAAGUAGAGUGAUCGAAAGAUGAAAAGCACUUUGGAAAGAGAGUUAAAAAGCACGUGAAAUUGUUGAAAGGGAAGCGCUCACGACCAGACUCGGGUGCGGCUGCUCAGCCGGUCUUCUGACCGGUGCAUCGGUUGCACCCGGGCCAGCAUCGGUUCGGGCGGUCGGAUAAAGGUCUCGGGAACGUAGCUCCCCUCGGGGAGUGUUAUAGCCCGGGGCGCAAUGCGGCCUGCCCGGACCGAGGAACGCGUUCGCUAGGAUGCUGGCGUAAUGGUCGUUAGCGGCCCGUCUUGAAACACGGACCAAGGAGUCUACCAUCUGUGCGAGUAUUAGGGUGUCAAACCCUCGUGCGUAAUGAAAGUGAACGGAGGUGGGAACCCUUUGGGUGCACCAUCGACCGAUCCAGAUGUCCUCGGACGGAUUUGAGUAAGAGCACCGCUGGUGGGACCCGAAAGAUGGUGAACUAUGCGCGGAUAGGGUGAAGCCAGAGGAAACUCUGGUGGAGGCUCGCAGCGGUUCUGACGUGCAAAUCGAUCGUCAAAUCUACGCAUAGGGGCGAAAGACUAAUCGAACCAUCUAGUAGCUGGUUCCUGCCGAAGUU
rnacentral:rRNA from 1 species